ACUCAAAUGAAUUGACGGGGGCCCGCACAAGCGGUGGAGCAUGUGGUUUAAUUCGACGCAACGCGAAGAACCUUACCGGGGCUUGACAUCCAGCGACAUCCUAGGAGACUAGGUUUUCUAGCAAUAGAACGCUGAGACAGGUGCUGCAUGGCUGUCGUCAGCUCGUGCCGUGAGGUGUUGGGUUAAGUCCCGCAACGAGCGCAACCCUUGUCGUGUGUUGGUAGUUUAUUCUAUCUCUCACGCGAGACCGCCGGUGACAAGCCGGAGGAAGGUGGGGAUGACGUCAAGUCAGCAUGGCCCUUACGUCCCGGGCUACACACGUGCUACAAUGGGGAGGACAGCGAGUCGCUAACCCGCGAGGGUAUGCCAAUCUCUUAAACCUCUCCUCAGUUCGGAUUGAAGGCUGCAACUCGCCUUCAUGAAGUCGGAAUCGCUAGUAAACGCAGAUCAGCUACGCUGCGUUGAAUACGUUCCCGGGCCUUGUACACACCGCCCGU
rnacentral:rRNA from 1 species